rnacentral:miRNA from 1 species
GGUGUGGCCUGUUGGAGGAAGUGUGUCACUGGGGGUGGGCUUUGAAGUUUCAGAAGCUCAAGCCAGGCCUAGUGCCUGUCUCUCUUUCUGUUGCUUGCUGAUC